rnacentral:rRNA from 1 species
UACGUAGGGUGCAAGCGUUGUCCGGAAUUAUUGGGCGUAAAGAGCUCGUAGGCGGUUUGUCGCGUCGGCUGUGAAAACCUGGGGCUCAACCCCGGGCCUGCAGCCGAUACGGGCAAACUAGAAUUCGGUAGGGGAGACUGGAAUUCCUGGUGUAGCGGUGAAAUGCGCAGAUAUCAGGAGGAACACCGGUGGCGAAGGCGGGUCUCUGGGCCGAUAUUGACGCCGAGGAGCGAAAGCGUGGGGAGCGAACAGG